rnacentral:rRNA from 1 species
AUUGAACGCUGGCGGCAGGCCUAACACAUGCAAGUCGAACGAGUGGCGGACUGGUGAGUAAUGUCUGUGACACUGCCUGAUGGAGGGGGAUAACUACUGGACACGGUAGCUACUACCGCAUACCAUCAGAUUUGCCCAGAUGGGAUUAGCUUGUUGGUUGGGUAACGGCUCACCAAGGUGACGAUCCCUAGCUGGUCUGAGAGGAUGACCAGCCACACUGGAACUGAGCAACGGGCCAGACUCCUACGGGAGGCAGCAGUGGGGAAUAUUGCACAAUGGGCGCAAGCCUGAUGCAGCCAUGCCGCGUGUAUGAAGAAGGCCUUCGGGUUGUAAAGUACUUUCAGUGGGGAGGCGUUACUCGCAGAAGAAGCACCGGCUAACUCCGUGCCAGCAGCCGCGGUAAUAC